UUUUUUUUUUUCUUUUUGGCUUUGCCCAUGGCAUGUGGAUGUUCCCAGACCAGGGAAUGAACCCGAGAUACGGCUGUAACCAGAGCCACAAUAGUGACAGUGCCAGGUCCUUAACCUGCUGAGUUACAAGGGAAUUCCAGCAAUUAUUUCUUUUGGCUUUUUAGGGCUGUAACUGGGGCAUAUAGGAGUUCCCAGUGUAAAUAAAGUUAUGUCUACACUCUACCGUGCAAUGGCAUUCCAUCUUAAAAAAACAUACAUACCUUAGUUAAAAAACACUUUCUUGCUUAAAAAAAAAAAAAAAAUGGUAACCAUCAUCUGAGCUCUCAGUGGGUUGUAGCAAUGACAGACCACUGAUAACAGAUCAACAAAUAUAAUAAUGAUGGAAAACUGAAAUAUUGUGAGAAUUACCAAGAUAUGCACAGAGACACAAAGUGAGCAAAUGCGCUUAGAAAAAAAUGGCACCGGUGGACUUGGUGCAGGCGGGGUUGCCACAAACCUUCAAUGUAUUAAAAAAAAAUGCAAUAGGAGUUCCCAUCGUGGCUCAGUGGUUAACGAAUCCGACUAGGAACCAUGAGGUUGCAGGUUCAAUCCCUGGCCUCGCUCAGUGGGUUAAGGAUCCGGCAUUGCCGUGAGCUGUGGUGUAGGUUGCAGACAUGGCUUGGAUCUGACGUGGCUGUGGCGUAGACUGGCGACUACAGCUCUGAUUCAACCCUUAGCCUGGGAACCACCAUAUGCCACGGGAGCGGCCCAAGAAAUGGCAAAAAGACAAAAAAAAAAUGUAAUAAAGCAAAGCAUGACAAAACGAGGUCUGUCUAUACAUGCAUAUCAACUGCAUCAUCAUUACCAUCAGCAUCACUCUUGUCAUCACCGUCACAGCUCAACAGCUCCGUGGGCCUCAGCUCUCCUUUGACCUCAUUUAAAUCUCACCUGCCCUAUAUUCCCCUCUUUGGAUUAUGAGCAUCAGGAAAGAUCAUGAAAUGUGAAAAAGUGCUGGGGGCAUGAAUGUUUUGUUUUCUAGCUGAGAAAAUAAGCUUCCUUUGCAAGUUUGCAUAUCAACAGUAUAGCUAGCUGUCCCCCCAUUUGGUGUCUCCUGCCCCUCCUCUGAUCUCUUUGAACCCAUGCCUUGCUUCAAAUGGAUGGACCUCUCCACUGACAG
rnacentral:lncRNA from 1 species